rnacentral:rRNA from 1 species
CGGACGGGUGAGUAACACGUGGAUAACCUACCUAUAAGACUGGGAUAACUUCGGGAAACCGGAGAUAAUACCGGAUAAUAUUUUGAACCGCAUGGUUCAAAAGUGAAAGACGGUCUUGCUGUCACUUAUAGAUGGAUCCGCGCUGCAUUAGCUAGUUGGUAAGGUAACGGCUUACCAAGGCAACGAUGCAUAGCCGACCUGAGAGGGUGAUCGGCCACACUGGAACUGAGACACGGUCCAG